AGAAGAAAAACAAAGAUAAGAAAAGAAAAGCCACAGAUGAAGAGGAAAGGCUUGAUAUUGUUGGUGGCUGGUGGUCUGUAAGCAGCUUUGGAGAAAUUACAGGAACAGUUGCCAUAGAGAUGCAGAA